GACGAACGCUGGCGGCGUGCUUAACACAUGCAAGUCGAACGGUGAAGCUCCAAGCUUGCUUGGGGUGGAUCAGUGGCGAACGGGUGAGUAACACGUGAGUAACCUGCCCCGGACUCUGGAAUAAGCGCUGGAAACGGCGUCUAAUACUGGAUAUGACAUCAAGCCGCAUGGUUAUGGUGUGGAAAGUUUUUCGGUCCGGGAUGGGCUCGCGGCCUAUCAGCUUGUUGGUGAGGUAAUGGCUCACCAAGGCGACGACGGGUAGCCGGCCUGAGAGGGCGACCGGCCACACUGGGACUGAGACACGGCCCAGACUCCUACGGGAGGCAGCAGUGGGGAAUAUUGCACAAUGGGCGAAAGCCUGAUUCAGCGACGCCGCGUGAGAGAUGCCGGCCUUCGGGUUGUAAACCUCUUUCAGCAGGGAAGAAGCGAAAGUGACGGUACCUGCAGAAGAAGCACCGGCUAACUACGUGCCAGCCGCCGCAGUAA
rnacentral:rRNA from 1 species